rnacentral:tRNA from 1 species
GAGAUGUUAAUUAAAUUAUAAUAUUGCUUUGUCAAAGCAAAUUUAUAGGUGAAACCCCAAUACCUCUCU